rnacentral:rRNA from 1 species
AUUGAACGCUGGCGGCAGGCCUAACACAUGCAAGUCGAGCGGAUGAAGGGAGCUUGCUCCUGGAUUCAGCGGCGGACGGGUGAGUAAUGCCUAGGAAUCUGCCUGGUAGUGGGGGAUAACGUCCGGAAACGGGCGCUAAUACCGCAUACGUCCUGAGGGAGAAAGUGGGGGAUCUUCGGACCUCACGCUAUCAGAUGGGCCUAGGUCGGAUUAGCUAGUUUGUGGGGUAAAGGCCUACCAAGGCGACGAUCCGUAACUGGUCUGAGAGGAUGAUCAGUCACACUGGAACUGAGACACGGUCCAGACUCCUACGGGAGGCAGCAGUGGGGAAUAUUGGACAAUGGGCGAAAGCCUGAUCCAGCCAUGCCGCGUGUGUGAAGAAGGUCUUCGGAUUGUAAAGCACUUUAAGUUGGGAGGAAGGGCAGUAAGUUAAUACCUUGCUGUUUUGACGUUACCAACAGAAUAAGCACCGGCUAACUUCGUG